UACGAAGGGGGCUAGCGUUGCUCGGAUUGACUGGGCGUAAAGGGCGCGUAGGCGGUCUGUACAGUUGGGCGUGAAAUUCCUGGGCUUAACCUGGGGGCUGCGUUCAAUACGUGCAGGCUUGAGUUCGGAAGAGGGUCGUGGAAUUCCCAGUGUAGAGGUGAAAUUCGUAGAUAUUGGGAAGAACACCGGUGGGCGAAGGCGGCGACCUGGUCCGAUACUGACGCUGAGGCGCGAAAGCGUGGGGAGCAAACAGG
rnacentral:rRNA from 1 species